UUUAGAGAGUUUGAUCCUGGCUCAGGGUGAACGCUGGCGGCGCGCUUAAUGCAUGCAAGUCAAACGAGCCUUCGGGCAAGUGGCAGACGGCUGAGUAACGCGUGAGUAACGCACCCUUCGGUGGGGUAUAGCCUCGGGAAACUGAGGGUAAUCCCGCAUACGAUCUUCUCCCCCUGGGGAGAAGAUGAAAGCCUUCGGGCGCCGGAGGAGCGGCUCGCGUCCUAUCAGGUAGUUGGUGAGGUAAUGGCUCACCAAGCCAAUGACGGGUAGCUGGUCUGAGAGGAUGGUCAGCCACAAGGGGACUGAGAACGGCCCCUACACCUACGGGU
rnacentral:rRNA from 1 species